UAGAUUGGUAGAGCCUGAAGCCUCUCAUUAUCCUCAGAAGAGCUAUAGCACAAAUUGCAGCCUCUGUCAAUUUCUUUCUCCAUCUUGAUCUGGUGGGACCACCUCUAAGGGUGAAAGGAUAAUUUUGUCUCCAUGCUCAUUUCAUUCCUGGCCAUU
rnacentral:sRNA from 1 species